rnacentral:rRNA from 1 species
UGAGGAAUAUUGCGCAAUGGGGGCAACCCUGACGCAGCGACGCCGCGUGAGUGAGGAAGGCCUUCGGGUCGUAAAGCUCUGUCAAAGGGAAAGAAGUGCAUGGUGGCUAAUACCUGACAUGUCUGACGGUACCCUUAAAGGAAGCACCGGCUAACUCCGUGCCAGCAGCCGCGGUAAUACGGAGGGUGCAAGCGUUGUUCGGAAUCGCUGGGCGUAAAGGGCGCGUAGGCGGUUUGAUAAGUCAGAUGUGAAAGCCCACGGCUUAACUGUGGAAGUGCAUUUGAAACUGUCAGACUUGAGUAUCAGAGGGGAAAGUGGAAUUCCCGGUGUAGAGGUGAAAUUCGUAGAUAUCGGGAGGAAUACCGGUGGCGAAGGCGACUUUCUGGCUGAAUACUGACGCUGAGGCGCGAAAGCCGGUGGAGCAAACC